rnacentral:rRNA from 1 species
GACGAACGCUGGCGGCGUGCCUAAUACAUGCAAGUUGAGCGCUGAAGGUUGGUACUUGUACCAACUGGAUGAGCAGCGAACGGGCGAGUAACGCGUGGGGAAUCUGCCUUUGAGCGGGGGUCAACAUUUGGAAACGAAUGCUAAUACCGCAUAAAAACUUUAAACACAAGUUUUAAGUUUGAAAGAUGCAAUUGCAUCACUCAAAGAUGAUCCCGCGUUGUAUUAGCUAGUUGGUGAGGUAAAGGCUCACCAAGGCGAUGAUACAUAGCCGACCUGAGAGGGUGAUCGGCCACAUUGGGACUGAGACACGGCCCAAACUCCUACGGGAGGCAGCAGUAGGGCAUCUUCGGCAAUGGACGAAAGUCUGACCGAGCAACGCCGCGUGAGUGAAGAAGGUUUUCGGAUCGUAAAACUCUGUUGGUAGAGAAGAACGUUGGUGAGAGUGGAAAGCUCAUCAAGUGACGGUAACUACCCAGAAAGGGACGGCUAACUACGUG